rnacentral:rRNA from 1 species
UACAGAGGGUGCGAGCGUUACUCGGAAUUACUGGGCGUAAAGCGCGCGUAGGCGGCUUUGCAAGUCGGGUGUGAAAUCCCCAGGCUUAACCUGGGAACUGCAUUCGAGACUGCAUUGCUAGAGUAUGGGAGAGGGAAGUGGAAUUUCCGGUGUAGCGGUGAAAUGCGUAGAUAUCGGUAGGAACACCAGUGGCGAAGGCGGUCUCCUGGGGCAUUCUUGACGCUGAGGCGCGAAAGCUGGGGGAGCAAACGGG